rnacentral:tRNA from 1 species
GCCCAGGUGGCGGAAUUGGUAGACGCGCAUGGUUCAGGUCCAUGUCUACGCAAGUAGGUGGAGGUUCAAGUCCUCUCCUGGGCACCA